AUACGGAGGGUGCAAGCGUUGUGCGGAAUCACUGGGCGUAAAGGGCGCGCAGGCGGUUUGGUAAGUCAGAUGUGAAAGCCCACGGCUCAACCGUGGAAGUGCAUUUGAAACUGCCAGACUUGAGUACCAGAGGGGAAAGUGGAAUUCCCGGUGUAGAGGUGAAAUUCGUAGAUAUCGGGAGGAAUACCGGUGGCGAAGGCGACUUUCUGGCUGAAUACUGACGCUGAGGCGCGAAAGCGUGGGGAGCAAACAGGAUUAGAUACCCUAGUAGUCC
rnacentral:rRNA from 1 species